UACGAAGGGGGCUAGCGUUGCUCGGAAUCACUGGGCGUAAAGGGUGCGUAGGCGGGUCUUUUAAGUUAGGGGUGAAAUCCUGGAGCUCAACUCCAGAACUGCCUUUGAUACUGAAGAUCUUGAGUUCGGGAGAGGUGAGUGGAACUGCGAGUGUAGAGGUGAAAUUCGUAGAUAUUCGCAAGAACACCAGUGGCGAAGGCGGCUCACUGGCCCGAUACUGACGCUGA
rnacentral:rRNA from 1 species